rnacentral:rRNA from 1 species
GAUGAACGCUAGCUACAGGCUUAACACAUGCAAGUCGCGGGGCAGCAUUUCCUUAGCUUGCUAAGGAAGAUGGCGACCGGCGCACGGGUGAGUAACGCGUAUCCAACCUUCCCCUGUCCACGGGAUAGCCCGUCGAAAGGCGGAUUAAUACCGUAUGAGGUCACACGAUGGCAUCAGACUGAGACGAAAGGUUUGGCGGACAGGGAUGGGGAUGCGUCCGAUUAGGUAGUCGGCGGGGUAACGGCCCACCGAGCCGACGAUCGGUAGGGGUUCUGAGAGGAAGGUCCCCCCACAUUGGAACUGAGACACGGUCCAAAACUCCUACGGGAGCAGCAGUGAGGAAUACUGGUCAAUGGACGUAAGUCUGAACCAGCCAAGUAGCGUGCAGGAUGACGGCCCUAUGGGUUGUAAACUGCUUUUAUGCGGGGAUAAAGUGAGGGACGCGUCCCUUUUUGCAGGUACCGCGAUGAAUAAGGACCGG